AUGUAAGUGGGAGAGAAGGUUAGCACUCCCUUUGAUAAGGAUGGAAGAGGUCCUAGAAACCUUUAUAACAUAUAGCAGGUUAAGACAUUGCUACCUACUUUGUGGCAUCUAAACAAGUAAUGUGU